AAGGAUGAUGUUGCAAGUCAUAGAAAAACUGAGAGCUAACUGUCACGCCCACACAGGAUUUAAAAGAUUCAAGUGGAAUUUCUGAGCACACAGGAACCAGUCAAGCCUCAACCUUACAGGAUCCUUUUUGCUGAAUUAAAAUGAGGACUGCAGCAUGUGCCAUGGUUCUGUUGUGCAUUCUGUUCCAAGGAGAGGCACUGAAAUGUAACUUCUGCUUCUCGUCAAGUAGUGACCUUUGCGUCCCCACCAGCGUCCAAACCUGCUCACUUACCCAGAAUGCAUGUGGUGCUGUCAUCCUCCAAGGCCCCUUCAACCGCUCUUUUCGUCAGUGCAUGAACAUGGCUGUGUGCCAGGGAUUCAUCACAACACCUGGAGCGCUCGCAAGCUGCUGCAGCACUGACCUCUGCAACUGAGCCUCCUCACCUCAGACUUCAUGCUGUUUCAUCUCUUCUCUGCAAUUCCCUGGACAUCUGUUAGCUUCAUGUUGCAUUUACUUUGAAAUGAGUCUUUUUCUAGUGAAUAACAUUAAAAUUAUAUGUGGUGUUUGAUCCUAUGUAUGAUUGCAGGUUGUGCCUUUUUCAUUUCAAAGCAGUAAAAGUAGAUAUGUUCAUAAUGAAUGAUGCUAUAAGGCAGCACAUCUUAAUUAUUCACAAUAAAUUCAGCUCAUUGAUGGUG